rnacentral:rRNA from 1 species
CCUACGGGUGGCAGCAGUGGGGAAUAUUGCACAAUGGGGGAAACCCUGAUGCAGCGACGCCGCGUGAGUGAAGGAGUAAUUCGUUACGUAAAGCUCUAUCAGCAGGGAAGCAAUACUGACCUUACGGUCAGCAGACGGUACCUGAGUAAGAAGCCCCGGCUAACUACGUGCAAGAAGCCGCGGUAAUACGUAGGGGGCAAGCGUUAUCCGGAUUUACUGGGUGUAAAGGGAGCGUAGACGGCGCGCCAAGGCUGGAGUGAAAUGCCGAAGCUUAACUGCGGAACUGCUUUGGAAACUGGCGAGCUAGAGUUCGCGAGGGGUAAGCGGAAUUCCUAGUGUAGCGGUGAAAUGCGUAGAUAUUAGGAGGAACACCGGUUGCGAAGGCGGCUUACUGGACCGUAACUGACGUUGAGGCUCGAAAGCGUGGGGAGCAAACAGGAUUAGAUACCCCAGUAGUC